rnacentral:rRNA from 1 species
GACGAACGCUGGCGGCGUGCCUAAUACAUGCAAGUUGAGCGAUGAAGAUUGGUGCUUGCACCAAUUUGAAGAGCAGCGAACGGGUGAGUAACGCGUGGGGAAUCUGCCUUUGAGCGGGGGACAACAUUUGGAAACGAAUGCUAAUACCGCAUAACAACUUUAAACAUAAGUUUUAAGUUUGAAAGAUGCAAUUGCAUCACUCAAAGAUGAUCCCGCGUUGUAUUAGCUAGUUGGUGAGGUAAAGGCUCACCAAGGCGAUGAUACAUAGCCGACCUGAGAGGGUGAUCGGCCACAUUGGGACUGAGACACGGCCCAAACUCCUACGGGAGGCAGCAGUAGGGAAUCUUCGGCAAUAGACGAAAGUCGGACCGAGCAACGCCGCGUGAGUGAAGAAGGUUUUCGGAUCGUAAAACUCUGUUGGUAGAGAAGAACGUUGGUGAGAGUGGAAAGCUCAUCAAGUGACGGUAACUACCCAGAAAGGGACGGCUAACUACGUG